UUGAGAAUUGAGCGGCAAUAUCUUUCUCCUCUUUUUCUUUCACGCUAAUAGUUUUCUUCCCCUUUCAGCCGUUCUCUUUUAGAGUACGCUUUCUUCUUAAAACCCUAAUCGUGUUCCUUCAUCAUCUACGAUCCUAAUCUCUGUCGUUCUUAUUCAUAAAACAAUCAGGCUCAGUUACAUGGUGGUGAGACGUGCAUAUGGUGGUGGUUAUGAUGAAGAAGGUUGAUACAGUGGAAGCCUUAAUGGUGAUUACAGAGGUGGUGGUUUUUAAUCAUCAUAUUUUGAUUAAUAGGAUGCGGAUUGUUUAGGUUUAGCAGUUGAAAUCAUCAGUAGUUUGAAUCAAGAAGCGAACAUCAACAAUCAUCAUCAUUGGUGUUUCCUGUUACGAUGAGAAAGGGUUAUGUUAUUUUUGGUUAUUGAUGUUGAGAUCAAGGUUUUCUAUAUGCAAUGGAAGAGCAAUACAAGCCAAUGAAAGAAUUUGGUGCCGGGAAUUUUAUAGUAGCAAGCCUGUUUAUAUAUAAGAAGAUGAAAGAACUGUUUGCUAUCAAAUACAAUGAAUGAGGGAAACAGGUAUAAUCAUUAUUUUCUGAAUUGUGAGAAGAAAUAACCUUCAAUAGCGAUUUUGAAACCCAUCAAAUUUCUUUAACAUUAUAUGUGGUUUACCUCACUUUCUAAAAGAAAUCAUUAUUAUUUCAAAGCUUCUAUGUUUAUCUGAAACUGAGAAUGGGUAUGUAAAUUUGCAAUUCUUUUUAAUCUUUAUCUGUUUUCUUGCAAAUUCACUCCAACGGCGAUUGGAGUUUCGAUGUCGGUGCCUUGGUUGCUCCUAUGCUACACCGCCACCAUUCCGGUUGGAUUCUUCCUCUAUUUUGUUCUUGGCGGCGCCAUUGGAAAACACUUCGUCUCUCAUUUUGUAUUCGUAUGCUAUUAGAUCUCUUACUUUUCAAUUGUUUCUAAAUAAAUUUUUUUCCAUUCAUAUUUGUCCUUUGUUAGGGUUUUGACAAUAACAUCACAGCGGCACCGCGGCAACCUGUCUCCGCUCGAGUUGUAAGUAUAUUUUUUUCCGAUAUAGCAGUUGUGUGAUAAUGAGUUUGUACUUUUCUUAUAGCGUAUUAUAGCUUGCAUUUGCCCUCAUCAAUAACUCAUAAACUGUUGCAGAGUUAAUUUUUAUGAAUUUGUUUGGGAUACAUUCGAUACGGUUGAUGAAUUGAUUGAUCCACUUUAGACUCUAAAGACGGGAAAUUGAAAUAUGGAUAUAACAAGAGAAAAAGGAGUUUGGGAGAGGUGAAGGGAGUACGCUGGUGAGGAAUUGGUAUUAAACUUGACUUUUUAAUACAAUAAUAA
rnacentral:lncRNA from 1 species